UUAUAUGAUUAUAUGUGUUUUUGAAUUUUUAUUUGUUCACCGUAGGAAAAUCUAUUUGAUUUUCUGUUAUAAAAUUUAAAUUGAAGGCUGUAGAGGCGACAAAAAUUGAAAUUGACUAUAUUAUUGUGAUUAUCAUGAUUUUUAAAGUCUACGGUGAGAUUUAAUUAAAAAUUGAUUUGGAUCAAAAUAAUUAGAUUAAAUUAAGUACAAUUAGUUAGCCCUAAUUGAGUUUGAUUAGUUUAAACUAAUCACCUAGUAUAUAUAUAGGCUAAACACCCUUAAGGUCAUAUUACGAGCUCAAGGUCUGAAAAUACACUCUAGAGAGAGAGAGUGAGCCGAUUAAAGAGAGAGAGAGAGAAUUCAACUUGAAGAUUCUACCUCAAAGCUUGAAGAUUGAGAGGAUUAACUCAAGAACUAGCUAGAAUUUGGAAGAUUGGAGCUUCUAGGUGGGUAAUUGAACUCAAAUUCAUGAGUUUAAGUUCAUAAUUGAGUGAGUUCAAAGAUAAUAUGAAGCUAAAGACAGGAUUUAAGGUGAAUGUGAUGAAUUUGAAGUCAAUAUACAUAUGCAUGUAAGUGAUUGCCAUGAAUUUGCAUAAUUGAGCAUGAAACGUAUAGUUUAUGAGCAUUUGAGAGUCAUUAAGGCAUGCAUGUAAGAAUUACCAUGGUAUGAAACUCAAUUCUAAAGAUUUAUGUUGUUUUUGGAAGAUGAUUCUUGGAACAUGAAGAUUAUGGCACCGAAUCAUACAUACAUGCCUAGUUUUGUUGAGUCUCAUGAGUUUAAGCAUCAAUUGUACCAUUUGUGAGAUGAAAAUACAAGCUACACUUCACAUGCAUGAAAGAUUUAAAAAGAUAUAAGAUUUGUUUGCAUGGGUUUUGAAGUUAUGAAAAUAAAUUUGACAUAAUUGAACUUAUGUGAUGAAUUCAUGGGAAUUUGAGCUUCAAGUCUUGUGAAAUUGACAUUUAGAUCAUGAUAGAAGUUGUAUGGUUGACAUAUAGGCCAUAAUAUGCAAGUUACACCAUGUAGAGUUGUGUUUUGAAGCUCAAAAAGUAUGCUGGAAAUUGCAAAAUUCGGCCUGUCCGCUCGAGUGAAGAAAGUCUCGCUCGAGUGUAAAAAUCAAACUCCCAAAAGUUUUGUAGAGAUUUGCACAGUAGCUCGAGUGGCAAAUAUCGCGCUUGAGCGAACCCUGUUUUAUAAGACUCCUCGCUCGAGCGACAGAAAUCUCGCUUGAGCGUAAAAAUCAUUCAACCAGUACUUUUAUAAAGUUUUACAGACCGCUUGAGCGGAGUGCCCUGUUUCAGAAAUUUUGAAAAGUCAUUUCAUGUUCCGUUUUCCGCACUCUUAGGCAUGUAUUGAGCAUUGUAAAUGAAUCAAAGGAUAAAGAAAGAGACCUAAGAGAAAUAAACAAGUUAAGAACAUAUUGAAUUGCUUGUGACCUAAUGUGUUAUGAAAUGUGUAGGGUUAAGCGCAAGGGCAAAUCCAUCGAUGGAACACUGUGAAUAAUAUCUUAGUAAAGAUAUUUUCAAGUGAGCAAAGAGAUGUCUAACCCCAGCCUCAGUGAAGAAUGUAAGAGAAAUCUAAGUUUUGUGGAGUCAGCCCGAACGUCUCACGCACGAAACUUUGUUUUCGUUCUGUUGUUUUACCCUUUUUGCUACCUUGGCGAUUCCGUUGGAACACAUAUGUGUAUAAACUUUUUGUUUAACUGAUUGCAUGUUUGAAUGAUCUUGGAUGUACAAGACGUUUAAUUUGGCUUAUGGUGUGAGUUAUUAUCUAAGAUAUGGGAAAUGUUUUGACA